rnacentral:rRNA from 1 species
GAUGAACGCUGGCGGCGUGCCUAAUACAUGCAAGUCGAGCGAACAGACGAGGAGCUUGCUCCUCUGACGUUAGCGGCGGACGGGUGAGUAACACGUGGAUAACCUACCUAUAAGACUGGGAUAACUUCGGGAAACCGGAGCUAAUACCGGAUAAUAUAUUGAACCGCAUGGUUCAAUAGUGAAAGACGGUUUUGCUGUCACUUAUAGAUGGAUCCGCGCCGCAUUAGCUAGUUGGUAAGGUAACGGCUUACCAAGGCGACGAUGCGUAGCCGACCUAAGAGGGUGAUCGGCCACACUGGAACUGAGACACGGUCCAGACUCCUACGGGAGGCAGCAGUAGGGAAUCUUCCGCAAUGGGCGAAAGCCUGACGGAGCAACGUCGCGUGAGUGAUGAAGGUCUUCGGAUCGUAAAACUCUGUUAUUAGGGAAGAACAAAUGUGUAAGUAACUAUGCACGUCUUGACGGUACCUAAUCAGAAAGCCACGGCUAACUACGUG